rnacentral:rRNA from 1 species
CUCCCGGUGAUCCUGCCGGACCCGACUGCUAUCGGAUUGAGAUUUAGCCAUGCGAGUCGAACGUCCCCCUGUUGCGGGGGGCGUGGCGUACGGCUCAGUAACACGUAGUCAACCUGCCCUGGAGACAAGGACAACCCCGGGAAACUGGGAUUAAUCCUUGAUAGGUCAUCUCAUCUGGAAGGAGAGAUGGCUUAAAGGGGUACGCGGGCUUCUUCCGCGAAUCUGCUCCAGGAUGGGACUGCGUCCGAUCAGGCUGUUGGCGGGGUAAUGGCCCACCAAACCUGUAACCGGUACGGGCCUUGAGAGAGGUGGCCCGGAGAUGGACACUGAGAGAAGGGUCCAGGUCCUACGGGGCGCAGCAGGCGCGAAACCUUCGCAAUGCGCGAAAGCGUGACGAGGUUAAUCCGAGUGACUCCCGCUGAGGGGGUCUUUUGUCAGCUGUAAAUAGGCAGGCGAAUAAGGGGAGGGCAAGCCUGGUGUCAGCCGCCGCGGUAAUACCAGCUCCUCGAGUGGUCGGGGCGAUUAUUGGGCCUAAAGCAUCCGUAGCCGGUUCCGUAGGUCCUCUGUUAAAUCCAACCGCUUAACGGUUGACCUGCAGAGGAUACCGCGGGACUAGGAGGCGGGAGAGGCGGACGGUACUCCGCGUGUAGGGGUAAAAUCCUUUGAUCCGCGGAAGACCACCAGUGGCGAAGGCGGUCCGCCAGAACGCGCUCGACGGUGAGGGAUGAAAGCUGGGGGAGCGAACCGGAUUAGAUACCCGGGUAGUCCCAGCCGUAAACGAUGCUAGCUAGAUGAUUCAUUCGCAAGUCGCGAAUGAAGUGUCGCAGGGAAGCCGUUAGGCUAGCCGCCUGGGGAGUACGGUCGCAAGACUGAAACUUAAAGGAAUUGGCGGGGGAGCA